rnacentral:rRNA from 1 species
CCUACGGGUGGCAGCAGUAGGGAAUAUUGCUCAAUGGGGGAAACCCUGAAGCAGCAACGCCGCGUGGAGGAUGAAGGUUUUCGGAUUGUAAAAUCCUUUUGUUAGAGAAGAUAAUGACGGUAUCUAACGAAUAAGCACAGGCUAACUCCGUGCCAGCAGCCGCGGUAAUACGGCGGGUGCAAGCGUUACUCGGAAGCACUGGGCGUAAAGAGCGCGUAGGCGGGAUAGCAAGUCAGAUGUGAAAUCCUAGGGCUUAACCAUAGAACUGCAUUUGAAACUGUUAUUCUAGAGUAUGGGAGAGGUAGGUGGAAUUCUUGGUGUAGGGGUAAAAUCCGUAGAGAUCAUGAGGAAUACUCAUUGCGAAGGCGACCUGCUAGAACAUAACUGACGCUGAUGCGCGAAAGCGUGGGGAGCAAACAGGAUUAGAUACCCCUGUAGUC